AGUGAACGCUGGCGGUAGGCCUAACACAUGCAAGUCGAACGGCAGCACAGUAAGAGCUUGCUCUUACGGGUGGCGAGUGGCGGACGGGUGAGGAAUACAUCGGAAUCUACUUUUUCGUGGGGGAUAACGUAGGGAAACUUACGCUAAUACCGCAUACGACCUACGGGUGAAAGCAGGGGAUCUUCGGACCUUGCGCGAUUGAAUGAGCCGAUGUCGGAUUAGCUAGUUGGCGGGGUAAAGGCCCACCAAGGCGACGAUCCGUAGCUGGUCUGAGAGGAUGAUAAGCCCCACUGGAACUGAGACACGGUCCAGAACCCUACGGGAGGCAGAAGGGGGGAAAUUUGGACAAGGGGGGGAAGCCUGAUCCAGCCAUACCGGGUGGGUGAAGAAGGCCUGCGGGUUGUAAAGCCCUUUUGUUGGGAAAAAAAAGCAGCAGGUUAAUACCCCGCUGUUCUGACGGUACCCAAAAAAUAAGCACCGGCUAACUUCGU
rnacentral:rRNA from 1 species